AACACAACUGAUAUGCACCUAAGUUUAUUAUGUAGCUUUCAUCCUGUGGCAACUGUGUAACUCAAUGGUAAGCUUAUAGGUAUGUUCGUAUGGAGAGGUAGGCCUAUUACCUUUGUCAUAAUUUGAAUUAUGAUUUUUUUCUUAAGGCUCAAAACAGGUAGAGAACCUCAAUGAUGCUGGGCCUAAUUUAAUGUUAGACAUUUUGAAAGCAGCAUGUGUAUUGUUUAUCACGAAAGCAGAAGUGACCUACAAGAUAAAUCUCCAGCCACCAGACCAGACAAGUCCUUCGUCCGUUGGAGAGCCCUCACAAAGGACUCGGGACACAUGUAAGACCCAAAGAAGACCCUGUUAAAGACAGGCGCAGAGCAUAAAGAGAGAACAUAAAUUAUAUGUAUUAAUGGUAUAGUAUAUGUAUUACUGGUAUAGUAUUUUUAUAUGUAUUGAUGGUAUAGUAUAUGUAUUAUUGGUAUAGUAUAUGAAUUGAUGGUAUAGUAUAUGUAUUACUGGUAUAGUAUAUGUAUUGAUGGUAAAGUAUAUGUAUUACUGGUAUAGUAUAUGAAUUGAUGGUAUAGUAUAUGUAUUACUGGUAUAGUAUAUGAAUUGAUGGUAUAGUAUAUGUAUUACUGGUAUAGUAUAUGAAUAGAUGGUAUAGUAUAUGUAUUACUGCUAUAGUAUAUGUAUUGAUGGUAUAGUAUAUGUAUUACUGGUAUAGUAUAUGUAUUGAUGCCAAUUGAUGGUAUAGUAUAUGUAUUACUGGUAUAGUAUAUGUAUUGAUGGUAUAGUAUAUGUAUUACUGGUAUAGUAUAUGAAUUGAUGGUAUAGUAUAUGUAUUACUGGUAUAGUAUAUGAAUUGGUGGUAUGUUAUAUUAACUGAAGAUACAAUUGCAUGCAUUGAUGGUAUAUUAUAUAUAUUGAAAUUAUUGAAAUUAUAUUGUUUGCAUUGAUGGUAUAAUACAUAGAUCUACAUGGAAGGUAUCUUGAGUUCCAAUAGGGAUUGUUAAUUUUCAUUAACAAUAAAAUGCCCUACGGCUAUUAAAUUUAAAAUAAAGGUGUUACACUUUCCAUUAUUUGUGUGCCUUAACUGUUACGCUAUUGUGCA